UGGCGUAUGGGUAACGCGCCCUAACUAGAGAUCAGGAGUCGUGAGUUCGAUUCUCAC
rnacentral:tRNA from 1 species